AAWUAAWUUUAAAAGMCAUUGAUAUACGCUCUAAUUGCAUUGUUUUUUAGUGUCAACUUUGUUUCACGGGUGUAAUAUGACUGCACUCAAGUGAUUGUAUAGUGCUAAAUGCUAAUAGUGAACCUUUUAGAUUGCAAACACAUAGACCAUGAAAAAAUUUACUUAUUAAAUAAUGCUAAAUUGCACUGAUGUAUGCGAAUUCUCUGUGCUUAAAAUUGRCCCUGUUUCAGGACUUUCCGGACACCACAUCCUUUCCUGGGCGGRUCGUGAWGGCCUUGAAAAUGUGCAAUCUACUGUCGUCAAAGCUUGGAAGCUUCAGAAGAUAUCCGUUGUAAUAUGGGAUCUCAUUUGUUAUUUUAACAAUCGGGUCUAUUUUCUGGUUAAAAUGUGAUCUAUGACUCGUGUGUUAAAAUACAAUAGCUUCCCCGCAAAUGAUUGUCCGCGACCUGCUUUAAUUUGCCAUAACCAACACGCAUGAGUACAUAAAGUAACGUAAAAUGUUUCCGUAACUCCCCUUCAUAGUUCACACUUCUUUGCAGAUAACAAUAGAUUAGUCUACAGGAAUUGACGUUUCCACUGCUUCCACAGAAUGCAAAAAACACUUAUUGCAGUGCUGGCUAUCUUGUUCAUUGGUACGGCCAUUGCAACCGAUGAAUCAGAUGAAAAAGAAGAAUCAGAUGAAAAAGAAAAAUGUUUUUCGUUAAAGAAGCAAGGAUUGUGUGCACACAACGAAGUGAAAAUAACUUGCCCGGAUGUCUGCGCAAAGAGCGACAGCCAUGAUAAAAGAGCUUUAAAACGCCAGACGUAUCCUGUCCCAUAUCCCUCUCCGUAUCCUUACCCGUAUCCUUAUCCGUACCCUUCCCCGUAACCUUCCACGUAUCCGUAUCCAUAUCCAUAUCUCAGCCAAUAAAUGUAAUUCAUUGAAAGGAAGAUAAUUGACACCAUAAGGAAAAUCGGAUGUUACCAUGGUUACCAGCAUUAAAGAAAGAACG